rnacentral:rRNA from 1 species
UCGAGAAUCUUUUGCAAUGCGCGAAAGCGUGACAAUGCGACGCCGCGUGAGCGAUGAAGAUCUUCGGGUUGUAAAGCUCUGUCAGCCCGGAUGAAACUCAGCACAUUAAUAAUGUGCUGAGUUGACAGUACGGGCAGAGGAAGCCACGGCUAACUCCGUGCCAGCAGCCGCGGUAAUACGGAGGUGGCGAGCGUUGUUCGGAUUUAUUGGGUGUAAAGGGUAUGUAGGUGUCCUGUUAAGUCCUUUUUGAAAUCCUUUGGCUCAACCAAAGAAUUGGGGAGGAAACUGGCGGGAUUGAGUACAGGAGAGGAGAGCGGAAUUCCCGGUGUAAGGGUGAAAUCUGUAGAUAUCGGGAGGAACACCAGUGGCGAAAGCGGCUCUCUGGCCUGAUACUGACACU